UACGUAGGGUGCGAGCGUUAAUCGGAAUUACUGGGCGUAAAGUGUGCGCAGGCGGCAGAGCAAGUCGAGUGUGAAAGCCCCGGGCUUAACUUGGGAAUUGCGCUCGAAACUACUUUGCUGGAGUGUGGCAGAGGAAGGUGGAAUUCCACGUGUAGCGGUGAAAUGCGUAGAGAUGUGGAGGAACACCAAUGGCGAAGGCAGCCUUCUGGGCCAACACUGACGCUCGUGCACGAAAGCGUGGGGAGCAAACAGG
rnacentral:rRNA from 1 species